rnacentral:sRNA from 1 species
UAUCAUUACCCGGUGCAACGCACGGGCAUUUUGCUAGUAAAUACAAAUAU